GAUCCAGCACAGCCUGCACGGGUGGCUAUUUGUGUUUCCCGCAGCAGCAGCAAAGUUGGUUCUGAAUGAAUUAGGAUAGCCUAUACUUGACAAAAUAACAUCGAUGAACAAUAUGUACAAUCUGUAUAAAAAUACAUCGAAUUUGUUUACUCGACAGGUGUACGCCGCCAUCAUCUCACACACUCACGUGCGGGAUUAACUCCCAUUCUUAAAACACUUAGGUGUUGAAUAAACAACGCAACAUAACGUUAAUAUUCCAAUACGACUACAUUAUGUUCUUGAUUUCCUGUAUAUAACUUUGGCAUGUAAACCAUAGCGUGAUACUGAAUGUGAGUAUAGAGAAGCAUUUGAGACAUCCAUUAUUGAACAGUAGGGAUUGGACACCAUUUAGCAAAAGCUAACGAUAGCACGAACACGGAAAAGAAGUGCUGGGUGAAACGGAGUUGUUCAUGCCUCUGCUGAUCAUGAAUAGGCAAGGUUACAGUGGGGAAAAUGUUUCACCAAGGAACAUUUCCAUUGGAAUAUCAGGAAUUGGAAGUCCGACUAACGGUCUAUCAGAGGAGGAUGAGUUUGAUUUAAAGAUGGAGCUGGCAAAGACGGAGGAUGAAAUACAGACUUUGCGGCAGGUACUCUUGGCCAAAGAGAAAUAUGCAAUGGACAUCAGGAGGCAGCUGGGUACUGGCCCCUUCAGUGAGAUUAAACAAAACCUGUCCAAAGGCUGGCAGGAAGUCCAGACCUCCAAUGCAUAUCUGACAGCCUCAGCUACUCUGGAAGACAUCAGCCGAUCUAACGUGUAUAAGAGGACCCAGGAGAGUAUCUCUAAUGCAGGACAGAUGACCAGUGCUGCCCUGUCCACAGUGGGUGUGGCCAUUACAAGGAGACUUGGGGACAUGAGGGCACUGCCUUUGCCAAGCCCACCUCGCCCCUCCUUGGGCCACUCCAUCAGUGUCCCUGCUAUGUCAAUGAGGCUAAUUGCGAACAGUGCUUGGGGAGGAAGAGUCUGGUGAACGACAUUAGAAUGACAUUAAUGCUGCAAACAUUCCAAUACAUUCAAGUCCUUUUGAAGACAUGGUGUGAAGCGUGAAGAACAAUGUGUCCAGGAUUCUAGGGAUUGACAGAGAGAACUCUGGGUCUGAAAGAAGCCCAUCUCAGAACAGUGGUUCCCUCCAACAUAAUCUAUUUUUCUCUCAACCAUCUGUAAUCUCACUACUCCCUUCAUUACUUUAACCUGAUGUCAUGGUCCACACUACCCCUUCAAAGAGUAAACAUUAUGCAGGAGGUUGAUAACUUGGGUAUGGCUUUGACAGUGUUGGUUCCAAACUUUCAUUCAUUCUAAAUAUGAAGUAGUAUUUCCAAUAUGUAGUUAUGUAUGUUGUCCAACUGUUUGAAGGAAAAUGUCAUUGUCAUAUUCUACUAUUGCAUUAUAAGAACAUAACAAUCACAAAUGUACAGUAAUGUAUUUUUGUACUUUAAGAGAAUUUACAAUUAAAACAAAAGUGGUCUGUUCUGAUUUUGGAUACUAUACCUUUCUGGAAAAAUAAAGAGAGAAAUAAA